AUGAGACACAGUCUUGAAUAUUUCUUGUAAACUUGUCUUUUGUUUUAUUUUGUUUCCAUUUAGUUGUAUUGUAUUUAGAGAGGGCCAACCUCCCACUGUCCACAUCUGCUUUCAAUUCACAAGCAGUUGGUCUUCACAC
rnacentral:lncRNA from 1 species